GGAGCAAGCUUGCUUUUCAAGACGAAACUUUUCUUGAGUUUGAGUUUUUAAGGGACAUGCGCGAAGCAAUGUCCAAGGGGAGAUCUUUUCCCAAGUUCGCUACGCUCAAAGAUGUGUAAUCAUCGAUCAAUAUCGAAUGGGAAAAACUUGGCAUUCUGCCUCUACCUCUGCGAUAGCAUUCACGGGUGUUUUCAUGCUAAUUAAUCUCAUGGAAAUGUGUUUCUCGAUAAUUCAUUUUCCUAUCGAAGCGUAGGCGUUGCGAUAAUUUGCACGAACUUUCCACGGCAUCUGUUGUCCCUCAUGCUUACAAGACAAUUAAGUCUGGCGGCUUCCUUCUAACGAAACUUUCCAAAGAAGCUGUGAUGCUGUUAGUUAUUUACCAAUGAAUCUAAACCUUGUGCACACGAUUUAGAGAAGUUCGCUUUAAUCUUUAUGGAAUUUUUGGAGAGUUGGGUCGGUGUGUUAUGUUUUUAACUGAACGUGGAAUUUCCAAAUGUGGAUUACGUACAAAAUUGUAUACCAAGCUGUGGAUAUAAUCUUACUUAGUUGGAUUGUACUGUUGUUUGAAUACGAAGAGGAGAGUGACUCGACAAAACCACAAGACUCAACUAUGUAGCACAAUUUCUUUCAUGGCAACGGUGAAUUAUUGCAGACUCAUGUGUAAAGUUGCAGACACAUUUUAUUCACAAGUCGCGGGAAGAACAGGCUGUCAAGAUUUGAUCUUUCGUCAUUUUCUUUUAUGGAUGUCUCUCCAGCGAUAAAACUGCCGUGGGACCUUCCAAUAUGACGGUGAGAAAUUGAAUCUUCCAGGGUCAGUCGGUUGUUGUUGAGCUUGGUGUAUUGAGCAUUGGACUUGCAAUCAACGAUUACUGUAUGUGACAUGGCAAGGAAGUCAGCAAUUCAGGAAACAGAGAGCAAAUCAAACGCCCUUUCACACCCCUUCCUAAUAUCAACCGUACACUCAAUCCUCAAACUACAACCCGAACUGACGACGACACCAGUACGAACCAAGGACCUCGUGCAUUGGAGAACAGACAGAGCAUGUUGAGCCAGAAGCUCAACAACGAAUACUAAUAGUUUUCUGGCAUAUUUGUACCCUUUUUUUUCAACUUUUUAGUAGAAAUAUACAAAGUAGACUUGAACCUAAGAAGGUGCAAUUGCAUUAGCCAUGACUUUACCUUAGAUAUUUACGUAUUAGUGAACUCUAAAAAGACAAAGAGAACAAAGCAGUCUUGAACCAGAACAGCAGUGAUCUCAAACCGUCAACUUACACACUCAAACAAGCGAGAGAGAUGUGGAGCAUGUGGAAACAUAUCAAGUGCUACAACAGAACAACAUUUGUUGCCUUUCAAUACAUAAGACUUUAAGUUAUAAGAUGUUUGGCAAAUGCUUUUACCUCAUCAUUAAAUAAAUAGAACUAUAUAAAGAAAAUUGUCUUGCUACAAGUCAAGCGAUAGCAAUCGAAGCAAUAUAAAUAUAAUGAUAAAGAAAGAAGAAGAAUAAAGUAUACAUGUCAUGCAUUGCCAUGUGGUGAAUCCCGUG